ACAAGUAACGUGAGGGAAAGAUGCAAAGAACUUUGAAAAGAGAGUUAAAGAGUACCUGAAAUUGCUGAAAGGGAAGCGAAGGAAACCAGUGUCGUGCCUGGCCAUAUUUCUCCUGCUGCUUGCGGUAGGGGCGCUGUGGCCUGGCGUGGGCCAGCAUCGGUUUGCACCUCGGGGCAAACGGUGGUUCGGGAGGUAGUUGCCGCUUCGGCGUCAAUGUUUAACCGUUCCAUCUCGUCCUGGGGGAGACCGAGGACAGUCUAGCAAUAGCUCGUGAUGCUGGCGAAAUGGUUUUCUUUACCCCGUCUUGAAACACGGACCAAGGAGUUUAACACAUGUGCGAGUACAGGGGUGGCAAACCCCCGGGCGCAAUGAAAGUGACAGUGGUUGGACCU
rnacentral:rRNA from 1 species